UUGCCACAACAGGUUCUUAUGUUUUUCUUUCAAGGUUUAUAUGUCAUAUUAACAUAUGUUGCUUUCCUUUGUUACUAAAAUUAUUACUUUCAGUCAUUGCAUGGAUGUGUUUUCCCUGGGUCGUCAUCGUAAAAUACUUUCAGAUCCUAUACAAAUCCUCAUUGUUUUGAGCUGGAUAAUGUCAGGUUUCUUGGGACAUCUGGUCAAAAUGUAGAUGAUCUUGACAAAUAUUCAGAUGCAAAAGAUAAACUUGAAUUCAUGAAAAGGACAUUAAGAUGGAGGCAUUUAGCACCCACCACACCUAAUACUCUUGGAUCAGAAGGGCAGUUGGUGGGACUCUUAUGUGUUCGUAAAUUCAGUGAAACUGGAGUUGCUGUUAUGAUGAGCUCCAAAUCAUGCACACUUCAUUUUAACUUAGAUAUGGCCUUUAUACUUGUAUAAAUAUAUUAUUCCAUAUCAAUAACAUGUCUUUAGUUUGUUGUUUAAGGUAAUGGAUUGUUGUCCCUCUGAACGUACUAACAAGACUCACUUUAGGCAUUUCAUUGCAGUCUAUUUAAUCUUUAGAAUAGGUUUCUAAAUGAUUAUAAGCUAAAAAUAUGGUUCUUAGCUAGAAUUUCAAUGUUAUCUGAAAAUUUAAAAGAGCUAACAUCUGAAAAUUAUGUUGUUACUCUUUUGACAACUUUCUAUGCGUGAAAGAUUCAUGAAAGGUUUUGGUGUUGGCCUGUGCCAGAGAUAAUUGGGUGUUUCCAAUUAUUUUGGUUAUGGAUUAGUCACGUGAGACAAAUAGGUUUUGGUAUGUAGAUUGUCUUUUUCUACUAUUAUGGACAACAACAAUAUUUCCUCCAAGAUGUCUUAGCCCCAGCUGUACGAUGGUUGAUAUGGUUUCCAGUUGGGUUGAAGACAAUGCUUGUAAAUCUGCAAUUUUGAAAUUUAAUGAAUAAAAUAAUAAAGCCCUGCUGCAAAAUUUUUAGCUACUCUUGUUAUUGACUGUUAAUAUGCCAAGAACUUUACUGACCUACCUAGUAAUCUCUUGUCUUCUCUGAAAAAGAAGUUUU